rnacentral:rRNA from 1 species
GGGGACAACCCGCCGAAAGGCGGGCUAAACCCGCGUACAUGCCACCGGGGCAUCCCGGAGGCAGGAAAGGCUUCGGCCGGACAGGGAUGGGCAUGCGGCGCAUUAGGCAGUAGGCGGGGUAACGGCCCACCUAACCGACGAUGCGUAGGGGUUCUGAGAGGAAGGUCCCCCACACUGGUACUGAGACACGGACCAGACUCCUACGGGAGGCAGCAGUGAGGAAUAUUGGUCAAUGGUCGGGAGACUGAACCAGCCAAGCCGCGUGAGGGAGGAAGGUACAGAGUAUCGUAAACCUCUUUUGUCAGGGAACAAAGACUGGGACGCGUCCCCGGAUGAGUGUACCUGAAGAAAAAGCAUCGGCUAACUCCGUGCCAGCAGCCGCGGUAAUACGGAGGAUGCGAGCGUUAUCCGGAUUUAUUGGGUUUAAAGGGUGCGCAGGCGGUCUGUUAAGUCAGCGGUCAAAGCCCGGGGCUCAACCCCGGCCCGCCGUUGAAACUGGCAGUCUCGAGUUGGAGAGAAGUAUGCGGAAUGCGCGGUGUAGCGGUGAAAUGCAUAGAUAUCGCGCAGAACUCCGAUUGCGAAGGCAGCAUGCCGGCUCCACACUGACGCUGAGGCACGAAAGCGUGGGUAUCGAACAGGAUUAGAUACCCUGGUAGUCCACGCAGUAAACGAUCAA